rnacentral:rRNA from 1 species
AUUGAACGCUGGCGGCAUGCUUUACACAUGCAAGUCGAACGGCAGCGCGGGCUUCGGCCUGGCGGCGAGUGGCGAACGGGUGAGUAAUGCAUCGGAACGUGCCCAGUAGUGGGGGAUAGCCCGGCGAAAGCCGGAUUAAUACCGCAUACGACCUGAGGGUGUAAGCGGGGGACCGAAAGGCCUCGCGCUAUUGGAGCGGCCGAUGUCGGAUUAGCUAGUUGGUGGGGUAAAGGCUUACCAAGGCGACGAUCCGUAGCUGGUCUGAGAGGACGACCAGCCAAACGGGGACUGAGACACGGCCCAGACUCCUAAGGGAGGCAGCAGUGGGGAAUUUUGGACAAUGGGGGCAAACCUGAUCCAGCCAUGCCGCGUGCGGGAAGAAGGCCUUCGGGUUGUAAACCGCUUUUGUUCGGGAAGAAAUCCUCUGGGCUAAUACCCCGGGGGGAUGACGGUACCGGAAGAAUAAGCACCGGCUAACUACGUG